GACGAACGCUGGCGGCGUGCUUAACACAUGCAAGUCGAACGGAAAGGCCCUGCUUUUGUGGGGUUCUCGAUUGGCGAACGGGUGAGUAACACGUGUGUAACCUGCCCUUGACUUUGGGAUAACUUCAGGAAACUGGGGCUAAUACCGGAUAUGAUCUCCUGCUGCAUGGUGGGGGUUGGAAAGUUUCGGCGGUUGGGGAUGGACUCGCUGCUUAUCAGCUUGUUUGUGGGGUAGUGGCUUACCAAGGAUUUGACGGGUAGCCGGCCUGUGAGGGUGACCGGGCAAAUUGGGAAUGAGAUAAGGACCAGAAGCAAACGGGAGGCAGCAGGGGGGAAGAGUGCAGAAUGGGAGGAAGCCGGAGGAAGCAACGCAGCGAGCGGGAUGACGGGCUUCGGGUUGUAAACAGAUUGAGAAUGAGACGAAGAGUGAGUGACGGUAAUGGGUAAAGAAGCACCGGCUAACUACGUG
rnacentral:rRNA from 1 species